AAGUCGAGCGCCGUUUUCGGACGGAGCGGCGAACGGGUGAGUACCGCGUGGGAACCUAUCCUGGAGUGGGGAACAACCGCUGGAAACGGCGGCUGAUACCGCAUACGCCCUUCGGGGGAAAGAUUUAUCG
rnacentral:rRNA from 1 species